CGAUUUUCUACCUUCCGUAGUAGUUAAAAAGCAGGACAGUUCUUUUUAGAACUAAGAAGUCUCCCGAAAAUCUGAAAUUCUACUUCAGUCUCUCGAUGAUGACUAGAGUCCACUAGUCAAAACAUUGAGACCAAUUAAUAACUCACUCCGCGGUAGUGAAGUUAAUAACAAUCCUCUAUUAGCUAAAAUAGUAGUCCCAGCUGAUUUUCUACUUUCCAUAGUAGUUGAAAAGCAGGACAGUUCUUUUCAGAACUAAGAAGUCUCCUGAAUAUCCGAAAGUCUGCUCCGCGGUAGUAGAAUGUAUAGACAGUUCUCUUAAGAACAGCAGGUGUUACCCCAAACCAAGUAUGUACUAAAUACAUUUAUUACAAAAAGCGAAUAAAUAUUGCCCUUUCUAAAAAAGAAAAAGAAAAACUUGAUUAGAGCCCAGUAGUGGAGGUCGGAUUACGCGGGUUGACAUUCAAGAUCAAGAUCAAGACAAGACGAAGACUUCAAACGGUAAAGGAAGAUCUAACCCGUUCUCUUGCAGGGUCCAACCCCUUGUAAUGCCCCUUGCCCCAAUCUGCAAUCUUGUUGAUGUUGUCCUUACUUAUGCAGCUUUCAAGGUGACUUCACACUGUCCUAAUGGCAUUUCUUGAUUUGCAUAUUGGUCGAAGCCAGUGAUGCUUGUUAGUUAGUAGACUAGUCUUACUGGUAAUUUCUGUUGGGUUGAUACUUCAAGUCAUCAGUUGUCAUGUUUACUUAUAAUUGUCAUAACUUUUAGAUCUAAGAGUACAAAAUCCAUCUAAGUCAUAAUUCAUAAACCUUUUUCCUAAGUUCUUCCAUGAACAAGACUAGUUUUUAAAGAAACAAAUUGUUUUAGAAGCAAUCAUGCUGUCAAAAAAUAUAUUCCAGUCCAAUCACCAUUCAUUUGAUGAUUAAUGUUUGAUUAAGGAGUAGUAUUAAAUAGAUGAUUUAGACCAACUAAAUAGAUAUUUAAUUAUUCCUAAUAUCAGCAUGACAUCACUUCUGAAUGAGUGUAAGGAACAUGUUAGUCUUAGAAAAGUGUUAAAUAAGAAAACAAUAAAUAAACAACAUAGCUAUAACAGUAUCUCAUUUACCUGAGAUCACAGUUAAAAUAAAAAUAAAUAGGGGAGCUUGUAACAAACCGAAAUGUAAUUUUCUUAGAGUAAAAAUAAUAGGGUCCAUUCAAAUAAAUUCCCAUAAGCAUUUAUCAGCAAGCGCUGCGAAAAAAAAAGAAGUCAAAUGAAGAAUGCAGUAGAAGAAAAAGAAUAAAGAUGGCGGAAGAGUACAAAGGAGCCAGGGGAAACGGAGCUGCUCAACCUUGAGGGAAAGAUGUCAGUGAUGCCUAGGUUUGUAUGGUGGUAAGAUAGUAAAGGCCUAGAGUUAUAUAGUGUAGGCCUAGCUAGAGAUAAGUCUGGCCACUGGUAAGGUGUGCCUGGUGUCAAAACAACACUACUUAGCUCAUAUGAUGCAAGUUAGUCAAAAUUAUGUCUCAUAUGACUAAUUAGUGUUGUUUUGACUAAUAUAUUUUCAGCUUGAUACAAGUACUUCACCCAGGUUAUAAGUAUCAGGUAGAAGUAUUAGGGUGGGGAAAAGAAAACUAACACUCGUUUUCCCCCGCAGCCUUAACCACCGUUUUCUCCUUAACCACCGUUUUCUCCUUAACCAACGUUUUCUCCUUAACCAACGUUUUCUCCUUAACCAACGUUUUUCUCCGCAGCAUUAACCAACGUUUUCUCUGUAUCCAUCACCUUGGCAUCCUUACUUAGGCUCCAUUUUUUUCUUCUUUUUCCACAGACUUUGCAUGAGACACGGAACAUUCCCUUGAUGUCUUGACUCGUGACCUGAGGUCAGUGGGGUCAAUGAGGUCAGGCGUUUGCAGAAAAGUGUGCACCCUGUUGUUCCUGUAAGUGGAUGUAAGUGAGCUGAGGUGGUGCGUACCAGCAGGCUAGACUGUGUGCGAAAGAUUUGGUAAUGUAUCAAGUUAUGAAUAAGGUUUGGAAGUUUGAAAAUAGUUGGUUUGAACAAAGAAAAAAUUGACUAGAGCAGAACUUGAACCAACGACCUCCGAGUUAUGAGUAUGUCAACUUGCUUGUGAAGAAACUACCUACUAAAUGGAACAUCAACUCAAUUGAGAAAUGUGGAGGACUAUGAACAAAUCCGAACAUCAGUUUAUCAAUAGAAAGAAACUCGAAACGUGCAUCUCCAAAACACUUGUAGUACAAGUAGUACAGUUUGUAACCAGCAGUCAAAUACCUGGUACAAUUUGAGGUUCUACAACAGCAAGCGUGAACGACCAGACAACCAUCGAUGUUUAACAAGUUAAGAGCAAGUUUUGAAAGCUUGCAUGGAUGCAAGCCCAUAAGCAGGAAUUACUUUGCGGUAGCACAAUGUGUAAAUUUUUGGUUCUGGGAAAAAAAAAACGGUUGUUGACAACUCUUAAACCAGUUGAUAUGUCAACCACGGGUUUCAGAACCAAAAGUACUCGAAAGAGAUUUACACACCGUGAACCUCGCUAUUGAAGUAAAUCAUUGUUAUUUUCUUUACUUGCAUGAUACAGCGAGGGUUGUCAACUCCAUAUCUACUUAUGUAGUCGUCUGAAACCUGAAGUUGCUUCAGAAAAUCUACAAUGUUUUUGGUGAACGAGCGGCUCUUCUCUUCUAUAAAAGGCUAAAGACGGAUGCCAUUGACAGAUGAAGUCUCCAAAAGAAGAAUGGCUUGCCAUCAUCAAGAUUCAAGGAUGUUUUCAACAGAUUGAGACGAUAUCCUUGGAGAUGACAUACAUUCAAUCCUGAGGUUGAUCAACACUUUUUGGACUGUGUGCAACCAGCUGAAGACGGAUUGUGCCAUGCUAGAAGAAUCUAAGCUACAAGCCCAACCAUUCAACUGACAUAGGAAUGUUGAGGUUUAUAACCAACUCUCUUUGGACCAUGUGCCACAGCUGAAAGACUUUGUCAAGACUAUAGCCUUGCUGACUCUCCACUGCAUCACAAGUUCAACUGUUAUGGAUUUUGGACGCCAACUAACACUUUUUGGACCGUGUGUCACAAGCUGAAGAACUAUGUUUGGCUAAAUGACUCUCCCUAAUUACAAGUUCAACUAUUGGUCUGGAAAGUUCUACUGUUGCAGUGACAUUGGGCCGAAUUUGUGCUUUUUGGACCGUGUGCCACCAACUGACGGACUGACAAAACUUGAGCUACAUAACUUUUCGCCAGAAGUUCAACCAUUCGCGUUACACAGGGAUGUUGAUGCAACAUUUUGUAACGAACGGUAACACUUUUUUGGACUCGCCAACUCGCAACUCGCUGAAGACUGGGUCAAGUCUAGCCAGAUGAUUCUUCACAUUUUGAACUGAAGCACCCAGACUACGCCUUAAUCCAUCAAGACACUCAAGGAGUGGACUAUCUUAGGGCAUCUGAACUUUGCGACUUUGGCUAUGGCUGCACCGGUUGCUAUGGGUCAAAUGCUUUAAUGCAUGUUACGAGAUGAUCAAGCCAAAUCCUUAGCCAGUAAUUAAGAUACUUGCCAGUAAUUAGUUUCUUGUUUUAAACUAAGAAAAAUUCUUGAAGCUAUCAAACUCCAAUACCAUCUUGAACAGCGUAGCUCAGUACUAUUUUUAUAAAAUUGGCACGCCUUGCCUCAUGCCAAGCAUUGUUGGUUACAUGGAAAAUUCAAUUAACUAAAUUAAAGUACAAUACCCUUUGGAUUUUGAUUGUGUCAGAAGUAGCUUUACAAAUCUGAAGUUGGUAACAGAUUUUGUUUAGAGAAGCAAACAACCAUAUUGGGUUACCUAAAAUACCAAAUUAUGAAGAGUUUUUUUACUUUACAACUUUUGACUUAAAAAGAAAGAAAAUGUAAACAAUUACUAAUAAUUGCUGGCAUUCGGACAAAGUCGCCAAAUUGUUCUCAAGCAAGUUUGAAAAGAUGGCAAGAAAAGCUCAGGUUUAGUCAUUUUGAUAAAUUGAUGAAGGUAGUAAAUGGGACAAUCUGUUGCCAAAAUAAUGUUAUUGUUCACAACUUAAUAGUUUGGUGUAAUAAACUUCUUUUUGUAAGAGUAAAUCAAUCUGAAUUGUUGAAGGCCCUUCAUAUUAACUUGUGACGCAAGCUCUACACAUAGUUUGAUAAAAAUAGUUCAAAGAUGUGAAUAUUUGAGUGCAAAAUAGACGGAAGGCAUGUUUUAGCAAAAAGCAUGAGUAUAGGACUCUGUUGCAAUGCGAGCACAAACCAUGCCCACUAUCACAACACCAGGGAUAGGUUUCACAAAGAGCUAAGAUUGAUCAUGUAAAUGUUAAUUGCUAUUAAGCAAAGUGUGAUGUCACAUUUUACAAUACAAUUUACUACGGUAAUUAUUAUUUAUUGAUAACACAUCUUAAGAUGAAUCUUAGUGUUUUGUGAAACCAAGCCCAGUCCUUAUCACCCUAACACUUAACUAAAACUUAACACUUUAACCUAACCCUUGCACUAAAACCAUAAAAAUUUCACUCUUAACAUUUCAUUACUAACACCUCACCCUCGGCACUGACCACUAUUUAAUCUGCGCAUUGAUUAGAAAAAAAAAAUUAAACGGCCAUUUUAUAAAACAUGCAUUUUGUCUAUUGGCAUGCUCAAAAAACAACUUGAAUUUAAAUAGAUAAUUGUAAACAAUUUUUAAGUGAAUGUUUACUGUAAUGUUUACUGUUUAUUUGAAGAAAUGUUACUGCAUUUUUAAAAUAAAAUUUUAACUAUUGUCUGUUUACAGUCAAGUCUAGGUUUCCUUUGAAUGUAGCGAACAUUCUUAAAUGUUGUCAGACAUGUGUUCUGCAGGCAUGCAACACCUUGUUUCACAUAAUUCACACUGACUAGAUGCAAAUGAUAUAUUUUAAAUGCAGGGCUCUAAUUUUGGGUAAAAUUACAUAGUCUCUGUUAGUUUGUCCGAAUUGACGACUUCAGCAGUGGCUGUCGUGGGAAUGAUUAAAGACGUUCAUUCCUAAACAACCAAUAACAGCCUUAGCCGAAGUCGCUUGAUUCAGACAGUCUUACAUUGGUGUAAAAGACAAAACAAAAUGGCUACCUAAUUAUAAAAACAUUUCAAGCUAUGUCCGUAAUUAUGGUCAAGGUUUAGAUUUGUGAUAACAAUAAAAUGUGUACUACAGAAUGUAGUUUUGACUUGUAAAAAGUUGUAACGUUUAUUAACCUUAUUUUUAGCUAGGGAACCAUUUUACUUAACAAUAUUCUACUUAGCAAAAUUAAAUAGAAAAUUGGAUAGUCAAAGAUGGUAGAUGUAACUUGGUAUUAAGCUGGUAACCUUAUUCUAAUAAGUAACACCCGUUUCAGACAGGUGCUCAAGAGUUGCGCUAAACCAAAUUCGGACUUAAGUACAUGAAAAGGGAGACGUGCCAAAAAGUUAGGAGCGGCUGGCACACUAGAAGUCGAAAGAUCGACCGUUGCAGUCAUUCGGAACAACUCUGGAACGCCUUGGUAUCAGACGUCAAUCUUUUCAUGAGCCAAGCCAAUGUUAAUGUUGUGUUAAGUUCGCUUGUCUGAAACCAAAAUGUAUUUGGGUCGACCAAGAGUGGCUCCUAAUCUAGUUGGUUUGGUGCGACUCUUGUGCGCCUGUCUGAAAUGGGUGUAGUAUUUUGUUUGUGCUAUGAGCAAGUUCAAGUGUGCACGUUUAGUUGAAUACUGCACAACAUACAGGCGCAGUGACGCACUCACUUAAAAGACUUGUUUGGAAGCCGUCAACUAUCGGUACCAUGGUUUUCAACACUCCGUUGCCCUCCACGUUUUCGCUAUAGUGUCAGUGGUUCUGCUGCACUUUACACAUGUAAGCAUUGACAAGCUAUCACCGAUGACCAGUGGUCGACCAUCCUGGGUUUGAGUCGAAAUAGUCAUUGUUUAUUCAACCAUGGUGCACACUCGAACUUGCUCCUUGUUGAAGCGGCCUAUAAUAGCCUAAAUUGUGCAACUUGUGUAUCAAAUACAUGUUAUUUUGUUUUAAAAAUAUUAAAAUAAAGCUGACUUAAAUUACAUGCAAAAAGAAUGAGGAACACAUAGCUACCUUUGUGAAGUGCGCUUUGUACACUUAAAAAGUGAUUAGACCAAAACGUACUUAGUUUAGUGAACCUCAAUUUGGUUUCACUGGGCUCAAUAGGACUAAUUUGCCCUUAGCCAGGGCUCAAUUUCAUGGCUCUGAAAUUCAGCACUUGCAGAAGCAGGGAACUCUGUGCUAGCGUCAAGCAUACUUCAUGGGUUAGUGGUGUGCAAACUCCAUGUUACUAGGCAUUCUACGCUUACAUAGCUAUCACAUAAAUUCAGUGCUUGCACAUGAGCAGAGAACGGUGACCAAAGUGCGGUAAGCAGAGCCAUGAAAUUGGGCCCAGUAGCCCAUUCUUUGUUAUUUAGAAUAUUAAUAAGAUAUCAUACUGAUAGUGAUAAUCUUCAGAAGAAGUGUUUUUGUUUGUUUUUGCUUGAAGACCAACUUUGA